GCCUAGUUAGCUUGGAGGUUAGCUCGUCUGCCUUGUAUGCACUAGGCCGCGGGUUCGAUUCCCGUCCAAGGCG
rnacentral:tRNA from 1 species